rnacentral:rRNA from 1 species
GUGCCAGACUCCUACGGGAGGCAGCAGUGAGGAAUAUUGGUCAAUGGGCUUACGCCUGAACCAGCCAAGUCGCGUGAGGGAAGACUGCCCUAUGGGUUGUAAACCUCUUUUGUCAGGGAGCAAUUGGCGCUACGUGUAGCGUUAUCGAGAGUACCUGAAGAAAAAGCAUCGGCUAACUCCGUGCCAGCAGCCGCGGUAAUACGGAGGAUGCGAGCGUUAUCCGGAUUUACUGGGUGUAAAGGGAGCGCAGACGGCAGUGCAAGUCUGGAGUGAAAGCCCGGGGCCCAACCCCGGAACUGCUCUGGAAACUGUGCGGCUAGAGUACUGGAGGGGCAGGCGGAAUUCCUAGUGUAGCGGUGAAAUGCGUAGAUAUUAGGAGGAACACCAGUGGCGAAGGCGGCCUGCUGGACAGUAACUGACGUUGAGGCUCGAAAGCGUGGGGAGCAAACAGGAUUAGAUACCCUGGUAU